ACUAACAUCGACCCUUGGCCUCGUAAUGGGGCCUCGGGGCGGAUUUGGACGCUGCGGGUCCCUUCUGUGGUCCGCUCGUCUUGAAAUGCAUCAGCCGGACUCUAACGCCUCGGUCUGACGGCGGCGUGAUAAGGUGCUCGUGCCGUAUUCGUCGUCUUGCGAUCGGGGGGACUGGGGGCGGCUUCUAAUGGUCUUCGGACGCUUCAUUGUG
rnacentral:misc_RNA from 1 species